rnacentral:tRNA from 1 species
GAAGGCGUCGGAAGGUUCGGUUCGUCAUUGUUGUUGUCGAGGAGGGCUACGGCGCGUCUGGCGGUGCGGCUCCGUCGGCCUGCUC